UCUCCUUCCUCGACUUUCUUGCAAAUAUAUGUUCUUUGUGACAUAUUUUUCUAUUCACAGUUACGGGUUACAGAAGCGCGAGUUGCGUAUAUUUGCCAUCAUGUAAUCCACCUACCUAAAAUUAAGUCAGGGCCGUCUCUCUCUCUCUCUCUCUCUCUCUCUCUCUCUCUCUCGUCCGUUCAAUAGCAUCCUUUUGUUUUAUCUUGGGAGCAUUUUAUGCAGGCUUCAGUAACAUUUAUAUCUUACUCAACCUGUGAUAGAUCUACAAAAUCGAACAGUGGGCUAAGUGGUAUCCUCCUAAGCAGGUCACUAUCAUUCACUAUCACGCUCUCUGUCACUUGAGGAAGCUGAUAACGUUCACAGCACCGUCUCUCUACUCCACGGAUCUUUAGUAUUGUGGUCAGAGGAGUCAGCAGGCCCUCAGCUGCGCGGAGUAGUGUCUGCAGCUCUCAGCACUCAGCAUGGGCGCCUUCAACAGUGUUUCCGCGAAGUCGCCAACGGAAGACGGUGCGCGAAUUCCGAGUGCGCGAAUUCCGAAUGCGCUGUCCUCCGUGAAGAAUGAGAUGGUGUCAUCCACUGUGGAGCUGGCAAGAAGAAUGGCUGAGAGGCAGAUGGCUAUGCAGGUGGCUUCCGUUCGCGAGUUGUUGGUGUGGUUCGUCCCCUUUGUGGUAUCUUCCUAUGGAUUUCUUUACUACGGCUACCGCAAGACAAACAGCUGGGUGGUCAUGUUUCCACUCAUUCCCAUAACAUUUGGCCUUGGCUACCAGAUACACUAUGCCUAUGGCAAUAAAACCAACCAAAUCAAAGCCCUGGCCGAGAGGAUAAUGAGCAACGAAACCCACAUGAUGGCAGUACCAGAGUGGAGCACUUCAGUACCACCACCGACAGAGCGAGAGAGAACCACGCAGCAGGAACAUGGAUCAAAUGCUCCAUAGCCAACGGAACAUUCACGCCUCAUCUCUCCUUAGCUGACAUUUCAUUAACUUAAAAAUCUUCAUAGCCAUUAAUAUAUUUGCUCGAUUAAAACAUAUUUUCAUUAAACUAAGUGUAUGAACUCCCUUUACAGCACAGCAAUGAUAUUUAAAGUAUUAGUGAUUACAGCAUGUUUUUCCCCUCCUCAAAUGAAAGAUGGCAUAGCACCAACGAAGCGCUGAGUCAGGUUAAUGCGCUCACAUUCCUGCGUACAAAAUACCACUCAAUCCCUCUUGUCAGCUAUAUUCAAAUUGUGGGUUAUUCAUCUUCAUCAUCAUCAUAAACAUUUUCAUAAGUCAUCAUCACUAUCAUCAUUUAUUUCAUGUGUUAGUUCUCCUAGCUGUUUUUAACCCAUGGAUUGCUAGUGAUUUAAAGAGCAAAAAGUUAUAAAUAACAACCAUAUUUGUGAAUUUGCAAAAACCUCCUUAAUAGCUAAAUUACUUGAAUAUAGUUAGCAAAGAUGAAGGCAACAAAUCUGUGUGGCAGGAGCACCAGUUUGCUCUGCCACAUUCCUAUUGGUUUGGUCACCAGCACCUCCAUGACUAAUUCCUUGCAGUGACAACCCUUGUGUUCUCCACUAAUGAGGUUAUUCCAUCCAUUGUCCACCUUAGUUAUGCAUAUGCAUUUGGAAUUCCAGGUAACUAAAUAUGCAUAUACACUCAGUCAUAAAGGGGCACCAGGGAACCUGUCACAUGUCUUGAUCUGAAGGCAUUACACUAGAAACAUCACAGAGAUAAUACAAGAUACAAGUAAUGUGUUAACACCUAAGAUUCAAUACUAAAAAUACAGUAAGUAGUGCAGGGAGCAGUUAAGCAGCUUUGACAGACUAUGCAAACCAUGCAAGUGCAAGGGCCCGUCCUCACACCCCUGAGAGAAGGUGUGAAACAUCUGGUAUAGAAUGAAAGAAAUGGCAGGACAAUUACAUUGAAUUUAUUACCACACCCCAGAAAACAAAAUAAAUUUAGUACGUA